CAGUAAUGGCGAAUGAAGAGGAAACAGCUCAAAUUGGUAAUCUCCGUUGAUCGCAACGGCGAAUUGUAGUCUCGAGAAGUACUAUCCGUGCGAGUCGACUUUGUCUAAGUUGCUUGGAACAGCACGUCGUAGAGGGUGACAACCCCGUACGUGGCAAGGUUCGAAUGCCUGCGAGGUGCUUUCAAAGAGUCGGGUUGUUUGGGAAUGCAGCCCUAAAUUGGUGGUAAACUCCAUCUAAAGCUAAAUACCGGCACGAGACCGAUAGCGAACAAGUACCGCGAGGGAAAGAUGAAAAGAACUUUGAAAAGAGAGUUAAAGAGUACGUGAAACCGUUAAAAGGGAAGCGAAUGAAACCAGCAAUUUACCGUUUCGGAUUCAGUCGCCUGCGCUCGAGCAAGUGCUUGUCCGCGAUUUUUUUCCUAGACGCGACUCGUGCAAUUGCCCGAGAGCAGGCUGCGCACUUCCGAAAGGUCAGUGUCAGCAUCAGUUGGUCACCGGUUAGAAGGUUGCGACGAAGGUAGAUCCUGCGGGGUUGUUGAGCGUCGCGAACAAAUGACCCGAGGCCGACUGUAGUCUCUCGCAAUGCGCGCCGCCGUAGGCUGGCUGGUGCCCUGUCCUGUUGACACGGUUGUCGACCGCGGCGGACGGCUUUGCCKGUGCGUCCAAACCGCUGCCUGUCAACAGGUCRGCCUGCACACACCACGCGUUGACUAUGCUGACGAAUAUACGGUUUCAUGCGACCCGUCUUGAAACACGGACCAAGGAGUCUAACGUGUGCGCGAGUCUGUGGGUGAACGAAACCCGGUGGCGUAAUGAAAGUGAAGGUAACCUUAUCGUUGCUGAGGUGAGAAGCCCGGCCCGCGUGGCCGAGCCGUAUCAUCGACCGACCUGUUCUACCCUAGGAAGGUUUGAGUAAGAGCGUA
rnacentral:rRNA from 1 species